rnacentral:rRNA from 1 species
UCCGUAGGGCGCAUGCGUUGUCCGGAAUUAUUGGGCGUAAAGAGCUCGUAGGCGGCUUGUCACGUCGGUUGUGAAAGCCCGGGGCUUAACCCCGGGUCUGCAGUCGAUACGGGCAGGCUAGAGUGUGGUAGGGGAGAUCGGAAUUCCUGGUGUAGCGGUGAAAUGCGCAGAUAUCAGGAGGAACACCGGUGGCGAAGGCGGAUCUCUGGGCCAUUACUGACGCUGAGGAGCGAAAGCGUGGGGAGCGAACAGG